AAAUCCUGUGCGGCGCACAGACCAAUUGAAGACUAUAAAUCCUAUGCGGCGCACAGACCAGGUGAAAACUAUAAAUCAUGUGUGUCGCACAGACCAAGUGAAGAUUAUAAAUCCUGUGCGUCGCACAAAAUAAGUGAAGACUAUCAAUCCUGUGCCGCGAACAGACCAGGUAAACAAUAUAAACCCUGUGUGGCACAGACCAGACAUAGUAAUAAAUCCUGUG
rnacentral:lncRNA from 1 species